rnacentral:rRNA from 1 species
GGCGGUGCGCAUAACACAUGCAAGUCGAGCGAGGGCUUAUUUCCCGCAAGGGAGAUGAGUUCCUAGCGGCGAACGGGUGAGUAACACGUGGGCAACCUUUCCUAUCGCGGGGGAUAACACCGGGAAACCGAUGCUAAUACCGCAUGUCGUCACCGGUCGCAUGGCUGGUGAAGAAAGCAGCAAUGCACGAUGGGGUGGGCCCGCGGCCUAUCAGCUAGUCGGUGGGGUAACGGCCUACCGAGGCGAUGACGGGUAGCUGGUCUGAGAGGACGACCAGCCACACGGGGACUGAGACACGGCCCCGACUCCUACGGGAGGCAGCAGUGAGGAAUCUUCCGCAAUGGGCGAAAGCCUGACGGAGCGACACCGCGUGUGGGAUGAAGUCUUUCGGGAUGUAAACCACUGUCGGAGGGGAAGACAUCGACGGUACCCUCCAAGAAAGCCCCGGCUAACUACGUGCCAGCAGCCGCGGUAAUAC